rnacentral:rRNA from 1 species
AACGAACGCUGGCGGCAGGCCUAACACAUGCAAGUCGAACGAACCCUUCGGGGUGAGUGGCGCACGGGUGCGUAACGCGUGGGAAUCUACCCUUCACUGCGGAACAACGUCUGGAAACGGACGCCAAUACCGCAUAACAACUCCGGUUCAAAGAUUUAUCGGUGAGGGAUGAGCCCGCGUUUGAUUAGGUAGUUGGUGAGGUAAUGGCUCACCAAGCCGACGAUCAAUAGGGGGUCUGAGAGGAUGAUCCCCCACACUGGGACUGAGACACGGCCCAG